rnacentral:rRNA from 1 species
ACAUGCAAGUCGAACGGCAGCACAGAAGAGCUUGCUCUUUGGGUGGCGAGUGGCGGACGGGUGAGUAAUGUCUGGGAAACUGCCCGAUGGAGGGGGAUAACUACUGGAAACGGUAGCUAAUACCGCAUAACGUCGCAAGACCAAAGUGGGGGACCUUCGGGCCUCACACCAUCGGAUGUGCCCAGAUGGGAUUAGCUAGUAGGUGGGGUAAUGGCUCACCUAGGCGACGAUCCCUAGCUGGUCUGAGAGGAUGACCAGCCACACUGGAACUGAGACACGGUCCAGACUCCUACGGGAGGCAGCAGUGGGGAAUAUUGCACAAUGGGCGCAAGCCUGAUGCAGCCAUGCCGCGUGUAUGAAGAAGGCCUUCGGGUUGUAAAGUACUUUCAGCGGGGAGGAAGGCGGUGAGGUUAAUAACCUCGCCGAUUGACGUUACCCGCAGAAGAAGCACCGGCUAACUCCGUGCCAGCAGCCGCGGUAAUACGGAGGGUGCAAGCGUUAAUCGGAAUUACUGGGCGUAAAGCGCACGCAGGCGGUCUGUUAAGUCAGAUGUGAAAUCCCCGGGCUUAACCUGGGAACUGCAUUUGAAACUGGCAGGCUUGAGUCUCGUAGAGGGGGGUAGAAUUCCAGGUGUAGCGGUGAAAUGCGUAGAGAUCUGGAGGAAUACCGGUGGCGAAGGCGGCCCCCUGGACGAAGACUGACGCUCAGGUGCGAAAGCGUGGGGAGCAAACAGGAUUAGAUACCCUG